UACGUAGGGUGCGAGCGUUAAUCGGAAUUACUGGGCGUAAAGCGCACGCAGGCGGCAUGGAAAGUCGUACGUGAAAGCUCCCGGCUUAACUGGGAGAGGACGUAGGAAACUCUCAUGCUUGAGAGAGUGAGAGGGAGGCGGAAUUCCCGGUGUAGUGGUGGAAUGCGUAGAGAUCGGGAAGAACACCAGUGGCGAAAGCGGCCUUCUGGCACUUAUCUGACGCUGAGGUGCGAAAGCGUGGGUAGCGAACGGG
rnacentral:rRNA from 1 species